AAAAGGUGGCUAUGCUACCGCUUUUGGAUGGGCCCGCGGCGCAUUAGCUAGUUGGUGGGGUAAAGGCUUACCAAGGCAAUGAUGCGUAGCCGAACUGAGAGGUUGAUCGGCCACAUUGGGACUGAGACACGGCCCAAACUCCUACGGGAGGCAGCAGUAGGGAAUCUUCCACAAUGGGCGAAAGCCUGAUGGAGCAACGCCGCGUGGGUGAAGAAGGUCUUCGGAUCGUAAAACCCUGUUGUUAGAGAAGAAAGUGCGUGAGAGUAACUGUUCACGUUUCGACGGUAUCUAACCAGAAAGCCACGGCUAACUACGUGCCAGCAGCCGCGGUAAUACGUAGGUGGCAAGCGUUAUCCGGAUUUAUUGGGCGUAAAGGGAACGCAGGCGGUCUUUUAAGUCUGAUGUGAAAGCCUUCGGCUUAACCGGAGUAGUGCAUUGGAAACUGGGAGACUUGAGUGCAGAAGAGGAGAGUGGAACUCCAUGUGUAGCGGUGAAAUGCGUAGAUAUAUGGAAGAACACCAGUGGCGAAAGCGGCUCUCUGGUCUGUAACUGACGCUGAGGUUCGAAAGCGUGGGUAGCAAACAGGAUUAGAUACCCUGGUAGUCCACGCCGUAAACGAUGAAUGCUAAGUGUUGGAGGGUUUCCGCCCUUCAGUGCUGC
rnacentral:rRNA from 1 species